rnacentral:rRNA from 1 species
AAGCAUAUCAAUAAGCGGAGGAAAAGAAACCAACAGGGAUUGCCCUAGUAACGGCGAGUGAAGCGGCAACAGCUCAAAUUUGAAAUCUGGCCUUCGGGUCCGAGUUGUAAUUUGUAGAGGAUGCUUUUGGCGCGGUGCCUUCCGAGUUCCCUGGAACGGGACGCCUUAGAGGGUGAGAGCCCCGUACGGUUGGACACCAAGCCUCUGUAAAGCUCCUUCGACGAGUCGAGUAGUUUGGGAAUGCUGCUCUAAAUGGGAGGUAAAUUUCUUCUAAAGCUAAAUAUUGGCCAGAGACCGAUAGCGCACAAGUAGAGUGAUCGAAAGAUGAAAAGCACUUUGAAAAGAGGGUUAAAUAGCACGUGAAAUUGUUGAAAGGGAAGCGUUUGCGACCAGACUUUUUCCUAGCGGAUCAUCCGGUGUUCUCACCGGUGCACUUUGCUAGGUUAAGGCCAGCAUCGGUUUCUGUAGGGGGAUAAAAGCUUGGGGAAUGUAGCUCCCUCGGGAGUGUUAUAGCCUCUUGCAUAAUACCCUUACGGGGACCGAGGACCGCGCUUUUGCAAGGAUGCUGGCGUAAUGGUUGUCAACGACCCGUCUUGAAACACGGACCAAGGAGUCGAACAUUUGUGCGAGUGUUUGGGUGUUAAACCCUCACGCGUAAUGAAAGUGAACGGAGGUGAGAGCCCUUACGGGUGCAUCAUCGACCGAUCCUGAUGUCUUCGGAUGGAUUUGAGUAAGAGCAUAACUGUUCGGACCCGAAAGAUGGUGAACUAUGCGUGGAUAGGGUGAAGCCAGAGGAAACUCUGGUGGAGGCUCGCAGCGGUUCUGACGUGCAAAUCGAUCGUCAAAUCUGCGCAUGGGGGCGAAAGACUUAUCGAACCAUCUAGUAGCUGGUUACC